UGCAAGUCGAACGGCAGCGGGGGAAAGCUUGCUUUCCUGCCGGCGAGUGGCGAACGGGUGAGUAAUACAUCGGAACGUGCCCUGUAGUGGGGGAUAACUAGUCGAAAGAUUAGCUAAUACCGCAUACGACCUGAGGGUGAAAGUGGGGGACCGCAAGGCCUCAUGCUAUAGGAGCGGCCGAUGUCUGAUUAGCUAGUUGGUGGGGUAAAGGCCUACCAAGGCGACGAUCAGUAGCUGGUCUGAGAGGACGAUCAGCCACACUGGGACUGAGACACGGCCCAGACUCCUACGGGAGGCAGCAGUGGGGAAUUUUGGACAAUGGGCGAAAGCCUGAUCCAGCAAUGCCGCGUGUGUGAAGAAGGCCUUCGGGUUGUAAAGCACUUUUGUCCGGAAAGAAAUGGCUCUGGUUAAUACCCGGAGUUGAUGACGGUACCGGAAGAAUAAGGACCGGCUAACUACGUGCCAGCAGCCGCGGUAAUACGUAGGGUCCAAGCGUUAAUCGGAAUUACUGGGCGUAAAGCGUGCGCAGGCGGUUGUGCAAGACCGAUGUGAAAUCCCCGGGCUUAACCUGGGAAUUGCAUUGGUGACUGCACGGCUAGAGUGUGUCAGAGGGAGGUAGAAUUCCACGUGUAGCAGUGAAAUGCGUAGAGAUGUGGAGGAAUACCGAUGGCGAAGGCAGCCUCCUGGGAUAACACUGACGCUCAUGCACGAAAGCGUGGGGAGCAAACAGGAUUAGAUACCCUGGUAGUCCACGCCCUAAACGAUGUCAACUAGUUGUUGGGGAUUCAUUUCCUUAGUAACGUAGCUAACGCGUGAAGUUGACCGCCUGGGGAGUACGGUCGCAAGAUUAAAACUCAAAGGAAUUGACGGGGACCCGCACAAGCGGUGGAUGAUGUGGAU
rnacentral:rRNA from 1 species